rnacentral:misc_RNA from 1 species
CAUGGAAGGCCCAGUGUAUUUGGAACCUGAGACAACCAAUGUUACAGUUACAACGGCAAGCAACCAAUUCUGCACCAGUGAGUUACGAGGACCCCUAAGUAUAAUUACAAGAACAGCAAAGCUAAUUAAAAAUGUCAACACCCCCUCAGCAAUGGCUCCAGUAUGCAAGUCAACUUUCAAAGUAGGGCCUCCAAGCAUGUGCUUAUACUGUGGUGGCAUCACCUCCAAAAU